rnacentral:rRNA from 1 species
GACGAACGCUUGCGGCGUGCCUAAGAAAUGCAAGUCGAGCGGUACCGAGCAAUCGGUACAGCGGCGAACGGUCGCGUAACACGUAGGCAACCUGCCCGAAAGCCCGGGACAACCCCGCGAAAGCGGGGCUAAUACCGGAUGUGGUCAGAAGGAGACAUCUCUUUUUGCCUAAACCAUCGCAAGGUGGCUUUCGGAGGGGCCUGCGGCCUAUCAGCUAGAUGGUGGGGUAACGGCCUACCAUGGCGACGACGGGUAGCUGGUCUGAGAGGAUGGUCAG